AUCUCUGGUCAUACCACCCGGAAUGUGCCUGAUCUCAUCUGAUCUCAGAAGCUAAACAUGGUCAGGCCUGGUUAGUUUUUGGAUGGGAAUCCUAAGGCUGUUGUAUUUCAAAGCCUAUGAGCUAACGAUU
rnacentral:rRNA from 1 species